rnacentral:rRNA from 1 species
GGCUCCGGCCACAUCAGCCUGAAGGCGCCCGAUCUCGUCUGAUCUCGGAAGCUAAGCAGGGUCGGGCCUGCUUAGUAUAAAAAAAAAAAAAAAAAAAAGAACUGGACAUGGAACAA